ACACGACUACAUUAGAUACCCCCGUAGUCCUAGCCGUAAACGAUACUCGCUAGGUGUCGGCCACGGUGCGACCGUUGUCGGUGCCGUAGGGAAGCCGUGAAGCGAGCCACCUGGGAAGUACGGCCGCAAGGCUGAAACUUAAAGGAAUUGGCGGGGGAGCACAACAACGGGUGGAGCUUGCGGUUUAAUUGGACUCAACGCCGGGAAGCUCACCGGAUAAGACAGCGGAAUGAUUGCCGGGCUGAAGACCCUGCAUGACCAGCUG
rnacentral:rRNA from 1 species